rnacentral:rRNA from 1 species
GGCGAAAGGGAGAGGAAUAAGUAGAAAUCUACCCUCGGGACGGGGAUAGCGGCGGGAAACUGCCAGUAAUACCCGAUAACGUCUUUGGACCAAAGGUGUGAUUCCGCCUGAGGAUGAGUCUACUUCCUAUUAGCUAGUUGGCGGGGUAAUGGCCCACCAAGGCAACGAUGGGUAGCAGGUGUGAGAGCACGACCUGCCUCAUUGGGACUGAGACACUGCCCAGACACCUACGGGUGGCUGCAGUCGAGAAUCUUCGGCAAUGGACGAAAGUCUGACCGAGCGACGCCGCGUGCGGGAUGAAGGCCUUCGGGUUGUAAACCGCUGUCGUAGGGGAACAAGUUUACGGGGGUUCUCCCCUGUAAUUGAGUGAUCCUAGGAGGAAGGAGAGGCUAAGCUCGUGCCAGCAGCCGCGGUAAGACGAGCUCUCCAAACGUUAUUCGGUAUCACUGGGCUUAAAGAGUUCGUAGGCGGUCUGGUAGGUGAGGUGUGAAAUCCCCCGGCUCAACCGGGGAACUGCGCUUCAAACCACCGGACUUGAGGGAGACAGAGGUGGGCGGAACAGAUGGUGGAGCGGUGAAAUGCGUUGAUAUCAUCUGGAACACCGGUGGCGAAAGCGGCCCACUGGGUCUUUUCUGACGCUGAGGAACGAAAGCUAGGGUAGCGAACGGGAUUAGAUACCCCGGUAGUCC